rnacentral:rRNA from 1 species
UAAUACAUGCAACGUCGAGCGAGCGGAACCAACAGAUUUACUUCGGUAAUGACGUUGGGAAAGCGAGCGGCGGAUGGGUGAGUAACACGUGGGGAACCUGCCCCUAAGUCUGGGAUACCAUUUGGAAACAGGUGCUAAUACCGGAUAAUAAAGCAGAUCGCAUGAUCAGCUUUUGAAAGGCGGCGUAAGCUGUCGCUAAGGGAUGGCCCCGCGGUGCAUUAGCUAGUUGGUAAGGUAACGGCUUACCAAGGCGACGAUGCAUAGCCGAGUUGAGAGACUGAUCGGCCACAUUGGGACUGAGACACGGCCCAAACUCCUACGGGAGGCAGCAGUAGGGAAUCUUCCACAAUGGACGCAAGUCUGAUGGAGCAACGCCGCGUGAGUGAAGAAGGUUUUCGGAUCGUAAAGCUCUGUUGUUGGUGAAGAAGGAUAGAGGUAGUAACUGGCCUUUAUUUGACGGUAAUCAACCAGAAAGUCACGGCUAACUACGUGCCAGCAGCCGCGGUAAUAC